AUUUUUAUUAAUAUAAAUACAAUAAUUAAUAAUAAUGAACUGGAUAAAUUUGUCCAUAUCACAGAUUUGUGAUAAACUGUUAUUGUAUUUAUAUCAGUCACGACUCUCAAACACAAUUGUUCCAAUAAUGACUACAUAUCUAAAUAAAUGUAAUAGUAUUAGUUUAUUUGGAAAAAAAUUCAGCCCACAAGGGGCAACUGUCCAUCAUAAUUUAUGUAUGAGGGAAUAAUAAAAAUUAUAUCUAAAUAUAUAUUUUAUAUCUUAAUCCAUGAUAAAUGAUUUGAUUUACAUGCUAAUCUUUAAAUUUUAAAAAGAGACAUUAG